rnacentral:rRNA from 1 species
AGCGAACGCUAGCGGCGGGCUUAACACAUGCAAGUCGAGCGCGUGGCUUCGGCCACGAGCGGCGAACGGGUGAGUAACACGUAGGUCAUCUGCCCUUUGGUGGGGAAUAACCCGAGGAAACUCGGGCUAAUACCGCAUACUGCCUUCGGGUCAAAGGCUUCGGCCGCCAGAGGAUGAGCCUGCGUCGCAUUACCUAGUUGGUGGGGUAAUGGCCCACCAAGGGGACGAUGCGUAGCUGGUCUGAGAGGAUGAUCAGCCACACUGGGACUGAGACACGGCCCAGACCUCCGUACGGGAGCAGCAGGUAGGGAAUAUUGCGACAAGUGGGACGAAACGCCUAGA